GCGGUGGUAGUUUAGUUGGUUAGAACGCCUGCCUGUCACGCAGGAGGUCGCGAGUUCGAGUCUCGUUCACCGCG
rnacentral:tRNA from 1 species